UAUGCAAAAAAAACCCUAAAAGAAUUUCACUUAGAUAAAAUAGUCCUUCCACCACACGUGCUCAUCCACCACAUACGAAACCUUAUCCUCUCGAUCAGAUCGCGUGAGAGAAGAAAAAACGCUAGAAAAAAAAAUCAUCCAUCGCCGCUUGCGACUCCGAGCGGCGCCACCGCCGCCACCGCCGCCGUCUGCCACCGCCACCGCCGCCGCCUGCCACCGCGCCGCCGCCGCCGCCCUCUGCUGCCGCCGCUCUACUCCCCGGAUCUACACACACCAUCCUGCUUCGCUCCCGUUCCAUGCCCAAAACUUGCAUAUCACUUGCGCCUCAAACAAGCUAGGGUAGUCGUCGGGGGGAGGGGGGCGCUUGCUGCUCCCUCCGCCGGCACCAUCUCCAGUCCCGGUGUCGUCUCUCGCUGUUGGAUCCGGAGUCGCGCCUCCACUUUCUUCAUCCUAGUCGAGCCGAGCCACUUUGGGAUCUACCGUUGCUGCCUUUAUACUCUAAUGCAUCCAAGUGGUCAAGCUCUACAUUCUAAGGUGUCGACUAUUGCGAGACAUAACUCAGCUAACCAAGGAAAUUCGGUGGCACUAACUGAGGUGUUCAAGCACAAUAGCAUUGAUAAUGCACUGCAAAGUGUUGUUGGACACAAGAGAAAGGUGCAUGAUCUAACACCAAAGGAGAAUAUAAGACGUGAAGAUACACAUUCUAGGGCAAAGAAGAUUGGGAAGGCCAGACCCGAUUCUCCAUAUGCUAACUUCACCAAUAGCCAACUGUUAACAACUUCCCGGUUCUAGCUCAAGUCCAAAUGCAUGGACAGGUUUUGGUGUAAUCCAUUCUCAGGUUGUGUUUUUCCUCAUUGCAAAUACAUGCGAGCCUCACAGGAUGACAGGGGCAAGCCACUCAGUAGAUCAAUGAUGUUUAUUGUCUUGUAAAUCAUAAAUAUACCAUUGAUUGUGAUAGCAUAUCUUACAAACUUAAUUACCAUUGAGAUGAUUUGUGAACCACUUAAUGUGCGAUUGAAUUGGAAUUGGGAAUUAUUGUUCUAUAUUGUUUUUGGAGAU
rnacentral:lncRNA from 1 species